GAUGAAGAACGCAGCGAAAUGCGAUAAGUAAUGUGAAUUGCAGAAUUCAGUGAAUCAUCGAAUCUUUGAACGCACAUUGCGCCCGCCAGUAUUCUGGCGGGCAUGCCUGUUCGAGCGUCAUUUCAACCAUCAAGCCCCCGGCUUGUGUUGGGGACCUGCGGCUGCCGCAGGCCCUGAAAACCAGUGGCGGGCUCGCUAGUCACUCCGAGCGUAGUAAUACAUCUCGCUCAGGGCGUGCUGCGGGUUCCGGCCGUUAAAAAAGCCUUAUUUACCCAAGGUUGACCUCGGAACAGGUAGGAAGACCCGCUGAACUUAAGCAUAUAAUAAGCGGAGGA
rnacentral:misc_RNA from 1 species